CCUACGGGAGGCAGCAGUGGGGAAUAUUGCACAAUGGGGGAAACCCUGAUGCAGCGACGCCGCGUGAGUGAAGAAGUAUCUCGGUACGUAAAGCUCUAUCAGCAGGAAAGAAAAUGACGGUACCUGACUAAGACGCCCCGGCUAACUACGUGCCAGCCGCCGCGGUCAUACGUAGGGGGCAAGCGUUAUCCGGAUUUACUGGGUGUAAAGGUAGCGUAGACGGCGCUGCAAGUCCGGAGUGAAAGCCCAUGGCUUAACCAUGGUACUGCUCUGGAAACUGUAGAGCUUGAGUGCGGGAGGGGCAGGCGGAAUUCCUAGUGUAGCGGUGAAAUGCGUAGAUAUUAGGAGGAACACCGGCGGCGAAGGCGGCCUGCUGGACUGUAACUGACGUUGAGGCUCGAAAGCGUGGGGAGCAAACAGGAUUAGAUACCCGAGUAGUC
rnacentral:rRNA from 1 species